UCCCGAAAGGCCACGCGUGCCGCGCCUGCGUGUCCGCACCUGCUGGAGGGAGGGCUAAGUCGUCCCGGGAGCCUAGCUAGUCAGCAGAGGAGGCUUUGGCUGCAGCGGGUGACAUGGACAACGCAGGGAAGGAGCGAGAAGCGGUCCAGCUUAUGGCGGAGGCCGAGAAGCGAGUGAAGGCUUCCCACUCUUUCCUCCGAGGGUUGUUCGGAGGAAACACAAGAAUAGAAGAGGCAUGUGAAAUGUAUACCAGAGCUGCAAAUAUGUUCAAGAUGGCCAAGAACUGGAGUGCUGCAGGGAAUGCGUUUUGUCAAGCUGCCAAACUCCACAUGCAGCUCCAGAGCAAGCAUGACUCUGCUACCAGCUUUGUGGAUGCUGGAAAUGCGUACAAGAAAGCAGACCCUCAAGAGGCUAUCAACUGCUUAAAUGCAGCCAUCGACAUUUACACAGACAUGGGGAGGUUCACAAUCGCAGCCAAGCACCAUAUCACCAUUGCCGAGAUCUAUGAGACUGAGCUCGUGGACAUUGAGAAGGCUAUUGCACACUAUGAACAAUCUGCUGAUUACUACAAAGGAGAGGAAUCUAACAGCUCUGCCAACAAGUGUCUGCUGAAGGUGGCAGCCUACGCUGCACAGCUGGAGCAGUACCAGAAAGCCAUCGAGAUCUAUGAGCAGGUGAGGACUGGUGUCACCUUGACAAAUUUGUAACCAUCACUACUAUAUACCGCUAGAGCCUUCCCAUCACUUCCGGAGAAAGCCAGGAAAGCAGCCUGCUCUCUGUUUUCCUGAUUUGCCGUCCUUGACCCUUUGACAUGCAUGGAAUAAUGCACCAUCUGUUUUCUGUGACUGAUUUCAUUUUUAAGAUUCUUCAUAUUGUAGCAUGUGUCAGUGUUUCAUUGCUUUGCAUGGCUGAGUAAUACUCUGGCUUUUAUGUUCAUCUGCUGAUAGGCAUUUAAGGAGCUUCCACUUGGGGUCUGUUAAGGAUAAACUGCUGUGAACAUUUGCACUUAGCCUGUGUGAGAGCAUGUUCUCAGAUGUCUUGACUCCAUACUUGGGAAUGGAAUCAGGAUUGUUUGGCUUCUUGGUGUAUCAAUGCCUGUCUUGCUGGGGAGCUAGCUGACUCUCACAGAGUACUGGAUCAUUGAGCAUUCCCAGAACAGUGUCCAGGGCUCAGCUUCUCUGGUCCUCACCAGCAUCUCUGUGAUUCCUAAUGAAUGUGAAGGAUAAUCUGUUCUUUCUCUCCUGAUGAGUGAUAUUAAUAUUCAUGUGCUCACUGGCCAUUUUCUCAUCUUUGGUGAGAGAUUUAGGAGUAAUUUAAUCCUAGAUAUUAGGAUACAAGUCCUUCAUGGUCAGGAAAAAACUUAACUUACAAGCAUUUUUCCCAUUCUGUGGAUUUCAUUUUUGUUCUGUUGUUUGUCUCUUGUUCUAGUUUUUCAGUCUUUAAAAUAAAUAUUGAGGGGCUGGAGAGAUGGCUCCACAGUUAAGAGAACUAGCUGCUCUUCCAGAAGUCCUGAGUUCAAUUCCCAGCAACCACAUGGUCGCUCACAACCAUCUGUAAUGGAAUCUGAUGCUCUCAUCUGCCAUGCAACUGUAUAUGCAGAAAAAGCAGUUAUUUACAUAAAAUAAAUAAAUUUAAACAAAAAUAAGUAAAAUGUUACGUUUAUUUAUUUUGUAUGUGGAGAGUAUAAGUGCCACCUGUGGCAAACAGAGGACAACUUGAAUUGGUCUGUCCUUUUAUGAUAAAUGGCAGCUAUGUUAGUGGGUUUGAGCCCAGGAGAGGUUAUCAGAUCACCUGUAUUAGAAGGGGUUGUUAGAGUUACCGUGGUUAUGAGCCACAUGACGUAAAUGCUGGGAGCUGAACCUGGGUCCUCUGGGUGAACAGCAAGCAAGUGCUCUUAACUAAUGAGCCAUCUCUCUAGUUCCAAGAUGUUUUUUGUUGUUGUUGUUGUUGUUUGGCUUUGUGUUCUUUUUGUUUUGUUUUGUUUUGUUUUGUUUUGUUUUCUUGCUUUACUUUGUAAUUCUGGGGAUUGAACCCAGAGCCUUAAACACAGCACUCAGGUGCUCCGCCACUAAGCUCCAUCACCAAGCUCCAUUACUGGCCCUGGCUUUUAGUUUCUUUAGUUUGUUAGUUUCAAGCAUCUUUGAAUGCUUAUUGAGGAAUUUUUUUCUGAGAGCUCCUUUAAGCAAACUUAAACAGUCUAACAUUUCUGCUACCUGGAAUUGUCUGUUGCUUCUGUAGUAAGUUUCAGGUUUUGCUAUAAUCAGUAACUUUCUCGUUUGCUCUGCUGUGACUGAUGGGUGACCUUCACCUUGUGCUCUGUUGUGAUUGGUGACCUUCACUUUGUGCUCUGCUGUGAUUGGUGACCUUCACUUUGUGCUCUGCUGUGAUUGGUGACCUUCACCUUGUGCUCUGCUAUGAUUGGUGACCUUCACUUUGUGCUCUGCUGUGAUUGGUGACCUUCACCUUGUGCUCUGCUAUGAUUGGUGACCUUCACCUUGUGCUCUGCUGUGACUGGUGACCUUCACAUUGUACUCUGCUGAGAUUGGUGACCACCUCAUUGUUCUCUGAGGCCACAUCUGAUUUCCAUCAUCCUUCUGUGCACUGGCCACACUGACUGGAGAUUUAGGUGGGAGCAAACACCAUGGAUAACCCCUUGUUGAAGUACAGUGCAAAGGAUUACUUCUUCAAGGCCGCGCUCUGCCACUUCAUAGUGGAUGAGCUGAACGCAAAGCUUGCUCUGGAGAAAUACGAGGAAAUGUUUCCAGCAUUUACGGACUCCAGAGAAUGUAAAUUAUUGAAGAAACUUCUAGAAGCUCAUGAGGAACAGAACAGUGAAGCGUACACUGAAGCAGUGAAGGAGUUUGACUCAAUAUCACGUUUGGAUCAGUGGCUGACCACCAUGUUGCUUCGUAUCAAGAAGUCCAUCCAAGGGGAUGGAGAAGGAGAUGGAGACCUCAAGUGAAGUGCUGACAUCUUUGUGGCAUGCAGCUCAUUCCUUUUUAUUUUGUCUUCGGGCAGAGCCGUCUUUGUAAAUAAGCCAGCCACACAGUUUAUGUAUUGUUUUAGCUCACCAUGUCUGUGUCAUGUGAGAAUCGGAGGCUUCUAUUCAGUUUGUGGUCAUGACAACCAAAGUACAUCAUGCGAGUAUCUGAGUCCUCAUAGUUUUCUGAGAAGUACUGCCAAAUCUUUUUCCCGUUCUUUUGAUAUUUUCAGGGCCCAUGGUUAAUGUUGCCACGUUUUGUGUUUUCUUUUUUCUUGAACUCUGGUCCUCAACCCAGUUUUAUAGAUGCUUAGCAAAGACCCUGUGCAUUGGUAUCUGGAUGCAACCUUUAUACAAGUGACUUAGUUUAGGGUGCUUAUUAGGAAUAAGUUUGUAAUUCAGUAGAAACUGUUUGGCUUUCCUUUAUAGCUACUUUGAAGGUGUUAGUGAUGUUUCUUGUUUUGCAAAAUAUGCUCACAUGUGCAUGACAAACACUGACAACAGCUAGGAUCUGCUAACAUCACUUGAAGCUGGUAGGUCCUGGGGUCCUGUUUGUUUGGAUGGAUGUCAAGGUAGAUUUCCUUGGUUUUGUUUUAACUUACACACACACACACACACACACACACACACACACACACACACAUAAAACCUGUGAGAUGGAAUUUUCCCUUUCUCUAGAGACUGUUUCCACUUUUAGCUGGAGUGGGAAUCCCUUCAUAUUUGCCUUAAACCAUCUUUAGCUGGCAUCUCCUUUAUUCACACAUCCAUAUAUGCUCCUCACAUUGUCUUCUGGGCCACAGUCAUGCCAAGCUUGAGCAGAGUUGGACAGAAAAUUCCAGCUGAAUAUGUGUGGUGAUGUCCAUUUGUCGGACAUGGUGGUUAAAUGUUAUCAGUGUAGCAUAAGAGUUUGUGUUAUCCCUGGUUAGAUAAGAGCCUCACUUGUAUUUGAGGGUCUGUGACUUAUUUCAUUUGCGUGUAUGAGCUCUGAUGUCCUAUUUGGUUUACAUAAGACGUAUGCUCUGUUAUUUGAGAUGUUGAUGCUCCCUGCUACUUUAUAUGCUGAUACAGUACUGUAGACAUGACCUUGCUCCCUGGGUCCCCUUUGCUGAGAGACUUUUAUGCUGGGAUGAUUUGUGCUUGAAGAGCCUGUGUUACUAGGCCUGUCUCAUUGCCCUAUUGUGCUGCUAUCAUGUGACAAUGAAACUCCUGAUUAUCCAGGUAAAAAUGGCCCUGGAAUGGUGUUUUCAUCUUUGGAUGGCCCUAGACUAGGGUUGGAGGCUUUUACCAUGCAGUAGAGUAGUAGCUUUGCCCAGGCCCAGGGCUAAACGAGAAGAGUUGGAGGACUGAUGAGAAAGUCCGUUCUUUCAAAAGUGAAACAAAGUAGCAAAAGGGGGCUAGAGAGAUGGUUACUCUUCCAGAGGACCCAAGUUUGAUUUCUAGCACCCAUGUUGGGUGGCUCAAAACCACCUGUAAACCCAGGAAUUCCAGUGCCCUCCUUUGCCUUCCACAAGCAUGUGCGUGCAGAUAAACACAUACAGGCAAAUGAAAUCUACACAUAUAUGCAAGCAAGACACUCAUUUGUAAAAUAAUAAAUCUUAUUAUUUUAAAAAGAAAAAAGGAAAUGAAGCAGAAACUGGCCCCAUGAGAACAGGUGGUAGGUGUCUGUCAGGCCCCUGUCAUGGUGGUAACAGGGUGUAAAUGCAGGAAGCCGAGAGGCCUUUGCAUGUCUGAAACAGAGGGAAUGUGCCCUAGAAUCUGAUGAGAGCUCCUUUUUCCUUCCAUGCCUUUAGGGGUUUCUGUAUGAUAGCUGGCUAUACCAAAGGUAAAAGUUGCAAUGGAACCUUGUUGAUACUGCUUGACUCCACUAGACUCUCUAAUGUAAAGACAAAAAGUGAGUUACUGGGGCUAGAGAUGCCUCAUUUGCUCUUUCAGAGGACCCAGGGUUAAAGUCCCAGAAUUUAUAUGGGGGCUCACAGCUGUCUAUAACUCCAGUCCUAAGAGAUCCACCAUCCUCUUUUUGCCUCCACUGGUACCAGGCAUGCAUGUGAUGCUCACGCAUACAUGCAGACAAAACAUGCAUACACUUAAAAAUAAAAAAAUUUAAAACUGUAAUGUAUAGGAAAGAGAGUUACUGCUUUGUUCACGGCCAGCCACAGGCAGCCUUGGAAAUGAGGUAUGGAAAUGGCUCUAAGUCAGUUCCAGCAGAAGAGCAUCUGAACACUGGCCAGCCUCUGUUCUCUGCCUCCCAGUUCAGUCUUCUGAUGCGACCAUUUAAAGUGAGACCCACAUGGUGUCUUACGGGGCACUGUGGUUUACCUUUCAUCAUGGCUCCCUAACACACCUCCAUGAAGAAGUGUUGGGUUGUUAAAGUAGUGUUUGGAUUACUUUGCUGCUUGUAAAGAAACUUACUCACUUAUUUGCUUUUCCUGAAGUUAAAUGCUGGGCCAGGCAUCAUGAACACUUGUAAUCCCGCAGUAUCUACAAGGUGAAGGGAGGAGGAUUGCUGUGAGGUUGAGGCCAGCCUGGACUCCCUAGUGAAUUCCAGGCCAGCCUAAGUUAAUGUGAGACUCCAUCUAUCUCAAAAAACCAACCAACCAACCAACCAAAAAAAAAAAAGGACUGAAAGGCUGAGGUGAGUCCCUGUUGAGUUUAUUUUGUCUCAGCACUUGGGAGGCUGAGGCAAGAGGAACGUGAUUCCAGACUAAGCUAAGUCAGACCAUCUAAAAAAAAAAAAAAUACAAAGAACACACUUUUGGCAGAAGAUAAAAGAAUGAGGACCAUGUCCGGACAGGAGUAUGCAAGCUUACUCCCUUCAAAUGUCCCGCAGACACAGAGCAAUGCAUUCUCUCAAGAUGUCCAGGCUUUAGGCUUUCAUGGUCUCUAGAAUAUUGUGACCAAAACGCAACGAUUGUUAUAGUUCUCAUAUUUGAGUGCAUCUGGAGAUAAUUCAUAGUUAUGGCAGUUAAUAUUUCUUACAGAAAAGUUUUCCUUUUGUGGCAACAUUUUUAUAGCUUGUGUGAAUUCCUUUUUUUUUUUUUAAUGACAUAAAACAGUAUUUUUGCACAGUUGUAACCAUGUGUGAUGGUGUCACUAUAACCAAAGUAUAUGCACCAGCCCUUGUGCAUUUAUUGUUCCCUCUGGUAUUGUGCACUUAAAAUGUCCAAAUUCAAACCUCUGUAACUGUGGAGAAUCUGGCAGCAGCACAGCAUGCCCGUGACCUGCCUGCUACAGUGUGAGCUGUGACCAGUAAGCAGGCACUGUAAAGUCCUAAGUUGCUCUCAGGCAAGGGAGUCCAUUACAAAAACAAAUCGUGUAACAAUAAAUCUAUCUUAGCUAAAAGAACGUUUGUUUUAUGUGAACCUGUACAGUAAAUAAAGUGGAAGUUAUCGGUAA